rnacentral:sRNA from 1 species
GCUCUUUAGCGUAGGAACAUUGGUUCCAGCCGGGCGGUUAGCCAGGCUCUAAUUUAUUGUCUAU